CAUGGAAUUUCUGGGUCAUAUGGUAGCUCUUUUUUUGACUUUUUUGAGGAAUUGUCAAACUGUUUUCCAAAGAAUAUUCACCAUUUUAUAUUUUCAUCAGCAAU
rnacentral:pre_miRNA from 1 species